CGAACGAUGAAGCCCAGCUUGCUGGGUGGAUUAGUGGCGAACGGGUGAGUAACACGUGAGUAACCUGCCCCUGACUCUGGGAUAAGCCCGGGAAACUGGGUCUAAUACCGGAUAUGACCAUGGGACGCAUGUCUUGUGGUGGAAAGAUUUAUCGGUUGGGGAUGGACUCGCGGCCUAUCAGCUUGUUGGUGAGGUAAUGGCUCACCAAGGCGACGACGGGUAGCCGGCCUGAGAGGGUGACCGGCCACACUGGGACUGAGACACGGCCCAGACUCCUACGGGAGGCAGCAGUGGGGAAUAUUGCACAAUGGGCGCAAGCCUGAUGCAGCGACGCCGCGUGAGGGAUGACGGCCUUCGGGUUGUAAACCUCUUUCAGUAGGGAAGAAGCGAGAGUGACGGUACCUGCAGAAGAAGCGCCGGCUAACUACGUGCCAGCAGCCGCG
rnacentral:rRNA from 1 species